AUGCUGCUCAUCGCUGCCGUCAAUAGAUGCCGCCGGCGAAAGCCGCCAUUGUCGCCUAGCCCGAGGAGCCUGCCGGUGAUCGGGCACCUCCACCUGGUGCGUCCACCGGUGCACCGCACCUUCCCGCUGGUCCACAUCCGGCUCGGCUCCACCCAUUGCGUGGUGGCCAGCUCCCCUCGCGUUGCCGCCGAGCUCAUCCGAACGCACGAGGGAAAGAUUCCAGAGCGGCCGCUCACUGCCGCGGAGCACUAGUUCGCCUACGGCUCCGACGGCUUCGCCUUCGCUCCCUACGGCCCACACUAGCGAUUCAUGAAGCGGUUGUGCAUGUCCGAGCUCCUUGGGCCCGCACGGACCAUCAACCAGCUCCGUCCCGUCCGUCGUGCUGGACUAGUGUCACUGCUGCAGAGCGUACUCCAUCAUGCGACGUCGUCAUCGGUCGAGGUUAUGGAUCUCACCGCCGCACUCAUCCGGCUGUCCAACACGUCCAUUAUGAGGAUGAUGGCGAACACCGUGCCCGAGAGUGUCUUGGAGGAGGCAAAAGCGCUAGUGAAGUCUAUGGCAGAGCUCGUCGACGCAUUCAACGUCGAGAACUAUGCAGCACUGUGCCGCGGCUGGGACCUGCAGGGCCUCGGCCGCCGGUCCGCAAACGUCCACUGCCGCUUUGACGCACUGCUCGAGGACAUGAUGAUGCACAAGCAGGAGGCCCAUGAGGCCAGGAGGAGGCAUGGUGAAGGAGAAGGAGAGCCGCUGGAGAGCAGCAACGACUUGCUAGACAUCAUGCUGGACAAGAUGAAGGACGACCCGGUGGGGGAGGUGAAGCUCACCAGGGAGAAGAUCAAAGCCUUCGUCAUGGACGUGGUCACUGCUGGCUCUGACACGGCGGCGGUGAUGAUCGAGUGGAUGCUCGCGGAGCUGAUGAACCACCCGGAGUGCGUCUGCAAAGUGCGCGAGGAGAUCGACGCGGUGGUUGGCCGUGAAAGGAUAGCCGACGAGGGCGACGUGGCGAACCUGCCCUACUUGCAGGCGAUGUACAAGGAGACACUGCGCCUGCGCCCUGCGGCACCGAUCCUACACCGACAAUCGACGGAGCAGAUGGAGAUUGCCGCGAGCGGUGGGUUUACGGUCCCGGCCGACACGGCGGUGUUGAUCAACCUGUGGUCCAUUGGGCGCCACCCGGCCCACUGGGACGCCCCUCUGGAAUUCCGGCCGGAGCGGUUCAUGGCCGGCGGUUGUGGUCGCGCUGCAGUCCGUGCCGGCAGUUGUGAUCGCGCUCGUGCAGUGCUUCGACUGGGCCAUGAUCACUCCCGGUGA
rnacentral:rRNA from 1 species